CAAGUGGUUUUAGUCUCCAACGUCCAUCGGUCUUUCAUCCUCAUCAACUAUGGAGACAUUGCAGAGACAGAACAAAUGUGGCAGGCUGGUUACAGUACGUUGGACUCUUUGCAUUCUUUCACAAUUCCAGUGACCAGCGCCCCAGAACUCUCAUCCAGCAGCAAUAUCAAUGUGAAUGGUGCCCGCUCUUUCCAUGUGGAUGGCUCACCGAACUUGCCAACAAAUUUCUCC